rnacentral:tRNA from 1 species
AGAGGUGUAGCUCAGUAGUAAAGCAUUUGCCUAGCAUGCGUGAGGCUCUGGGUUCAAUCCCUAGUACCACAA